rnacentral:rRNA from 1 species
CAGUCGCCACGGUAAUACGAAGGGUGCAAGCGUUAAUCGGAAUUACUGGGCGUAAAGCGUGCGCAGGCGGUUAUAUAAGACAGUUGUGAAAUCCCCGGGCUCAACCUGGGAACUGCAUCUGUGACUGUAUAGCUAGAGUACGGUAGAGGGGGAUGGAAUUCCGCGUGUAGCAGUGAAAUGCGUAGAUAUGCGGAGGAACACCGAUGGCGAAGGCAAUCCCCUGGACCUGUACUGACGCUCAUGCACGAAAGCGUGGGGAGCGAACAGGAUUAGAUACCCGUGUAGUCCCUGUCUCUUAUAU